rnacentral:tRNA from 1 species
CAUUAAGAAGCUAGUAGCACUAACCUUUUAAGUUAGGGAUAGAGAAUAAAAUUUUUCUCCUUAAUGA